UAGCUAUGUAGGGAAGGGAUAAACGCUGAAAGCAUCUAAGUGUGAAACCCACCUCAAGAUGAGAUUUCCCAUAAUUUUAUAUCAGUAAGAGCCCUGAGAGAAGAUCAGGUAGAUAGGUUAGAAGUGGAAGUGUGGCGACACAUGUAGCGGACUAAUACUAAUAGCUCGAGGACUUAUCCAAA
rnacentral:rRNA from 1 species